rnacentral:rRNA from 1 species
CACCGCGGUUAUACGAGAGGCCCGAGUUGACAACAUCCGGCGUAAAGGGUGGUUAAUAGAGUAAAAACUAAAGCCGAACACCUUCAAAGCUGUCAUACGCACUCGAAGGUAGGAAGCCCCACAACGAAAGUGGCUUUAAACAUUAUGACCCCACGAAAGCUAGGAAA